rnacentral:tRNA from 1 species
GGGGGUGUAGCUCAGCUGGGAGAGCGCUUGAAUGGCAUUCAAGAGGUCAGGGGUUCGAUCCCCCUCACCUCCA